GUGUGCGUCGUCGAGCGUCACGAGAGGUUCGAUUACUGGCUCAGAACGAACGCUGGCGGCAGGUCUUAGGCAUGCAAGUCGAACGGGUGUAGCAAUACAUCAGUGGCGCACGAGUGAGUAACGCGUGGGAAGCUACCCAUCACUGGGGAAUAACGUUUGGAAACGAACGCUAAUACCGCAUACGCCCGAAAGGGGAAAGAUUUAUCGGUGAUGGAUGUGCCCGCGUUGGAUUAGCUUGUUGGUGGGGUAACGGCCUACCAAGGCGAUGAUCCAUAGCUGGUCUGAGAGGACGAUCAGCCACGCUGGGACUGAGACACGGCCCAGACUCCUACGGGAGGCAGCAGCUAAGAAUAUUGGACAAGUGGGGGAAACCCUGAUCCAACGCCAUGCCGCGUGAAUGAAGAAGGCCUUCGGGUUGUAAAGUUCUUUUAGUAGUGAAGAUGAUGACAGUAGCUACAGAAAAAGCACCGGCUAACUUCGUGCCAGCCGCGGC
rnacentral:rRNA from 1 species